AUUGAACGCUGGCGGCAUGCCUUACACAUGCAAGUCGAACGGCAGCGGGGACUUCGGUCCGCCGGCGAGUGGCGAACGGGUGAGUAAUGUAUCGGAACGUACCAUUCAGUGGGGGAUAACUAUCCGAAAGGAUAGCUAAUACCGCAUAUUCUGUGAGCAGGAAAGCAGGGGAUCGCAAGACCUUGCGCUGAUUGAGCGGCCGAUAUCAGAUUAGCUAGUUGGUGAGGUAACGGCUCACCAAGGCUACGAUCUGUAGCGGGUCUGAGAGGAGGACCACCCCCAUGGGGCAGGAGACACGGCGCAGACUCCUACGGGAGGCAGCAGUGGGGAUUUUUGGACAUGGGGCGCCGGCCUGACCCCGCCAUGCCGGGUGAGGAAAGAAGGCCUUGGGUUUGAAAGGCUCUUUGGGCCGGGAAGAAAUCGCAUCAGCUAAUACCUGGUGUGGAUGACGGUACCGGAAUAAGAAGCACCGGCUAACUACGUGCCAGCAGCCGCCGUAA
rnacentral:rRNA from 1 species